rnacentral:rRNA from 1 species
GACGUAGGGCGCGAGCGUUGUCCGGAUUUAUUGGGCGUAAAGAGCUCGUAGGCGGCUUGUUGCGUCGGCUGUGAAAACCCGCAGCUUAACUGUGGGCGUGCGGGCGAUAACGGGCAGACGUGGAGUACUGCAGGGGAGACUGGAAUUCCGUGGUGUAGCGGUGGAAAUGCGCAGAUAUCAGGAGGAACACCGGUGGCGAAGGCGGGUCUCUGGGCGAGUGAACUGACGCUGGAGGAGCGAAAGCGUGGGGGGAGCGAACAGGAUAGACUACCCUGGUAGCUCCAGAUCCCA